CACGAACCGUACGAACGUUAUUCGGAAUUACUGGGCUUAACGGGUUUGUAGGCGGCCUUGUAAGUCAGGUGUGAAAUCCCUCGGCUCAACCGAGGAAUGGCGCUUGAUACUGCACGGCUUGAGGGAGACAGGGGUAAGCGGAACUGAUGGUGGAGCGGUGAAAUGCGUUGAUAUCAUCAGGAACACCGGUGGCGAAAGCGGCUUACUGGGUCUCUUCUGACGCUGAGGAACGAAAGCUAGGGUAGCGAACGGG
rnacentral:rRNA from 1 species